rnacentral:misc_RNA from 1 species
CUGAAAAAGGCAGCAGGCGCGCAAAUU